UUCUUUUCCAGAGGCUAGAUAUAUAGGAGGUUGUGGCUGCUCCAGCAGCUUGGAUUCAGAGUGAGAAGGCAUAAAGGAGAAUCCCCAGCUGACUUGUGCAGUGGUUAAUUGAAAUUAUUCAGGCAAGAGAUGAUGGUGUCUUGGACCAGCAACAAUAUACAAAGUUAGUGUUACCAGUAUUUUGUUCUUAUUCUUGAAUUACAGUUAGAAUUGGGCAACUGAGAAAUCUGAGACAUUCAGAAAUAAAGACAAGAAUAAUAAUAUUGGUUUUCUUAAUCAUCUAUCCUUAUCCCUUCUUCCCAUUUCUGCCCAAAGAUUCAAGACCCUUCUAUUAAAGCAAUACAUUCUUAUAUAUUCUGAUGUUGUCUUUUCUACUUCAGGGGAUGAGGAAGGCUACAAAAUGUGUCUACCUGUAUUCUGUGAGGAGAACGUGUUCCCUGGUUUUAGAUACUGUGAAGAUGGAUCAGGAGAGAGUUUAUCUAGACUGUUGGGGAAAGGUGUUGCGAUUCCUUCAGCUACACAGGAUUGAAAGGAGACAUUUCUGAAGGGGAAAAAGGAAAUGAAAGAAAAGAUGUUUCAGAUUGAGGAUAUGCUGUGUGGUGAACUUGUUCUUCACUCUGUAGGGUUCACAAAUGACUCUUCACUGCCCUCUUGGAUGAAAUAAACUGGUUCCCAUAGAAAUGGACCGUCUCUGAUUUCACAGUCUAGAGCACACAAAUAACUCAACUUUCUGGAAGCAAGGGUGAUGGCUCGUGAGAGCUCAAGGACAAGGAGGAGUCUGUAGAAGCACACCUGGACUCGGGGAAAUCAUUGACCUCUCAUCCUGAAUUAAGUAGCGCUUGAAAAGACUCUCUUUGAAUCAGAAAAAUAAUGCGAGCUCCUAUCAAACUACCUUACACAGCCAACUGAGUGAUCAUAGGCUUGGGUGGAAAAAAUGUAAUUCGUAGAACCUUUUAAGAGCUAAGAUUCCUUAAUCAACAUGGAUACCGUCUUGUUGAAUGACACCGAACUGUGCUGCGCAGGAUUCGGUUGCAUGGUGGCUGGAGCUGCCUCUCUGGGACCCAAAUCUCAGACCUGCUGCAAAGUGACUAUAUGAUCUGCAACUUGCUAACCCUUCUAGGCUUUUGUUUUAUUAUUUACAUAAUGAAGUGAGGGGAAUAUGUUCCUUGUAAAUUUGUUAAGAGGAUUAAAUUAGUUCAUGUCAAAUGAUUUAGAACACUGUCUGCCACAUAUUAAGGACUCAACAAAUACUACCUAUUAUUAACAAUGUGCCCUAAAUCUGUAAAUCACUCAAUAAUACAUGGCAUUAGGCUAAAUAUGGAAGGUAGAAGGAAAUAAAUUGUCCAGAAGCUAAAAAUAUGAAAGACUCUUCAUAUAUUUAAAAUAUUUUCUUUAAUUCUUUUGUUUUUUUCUUUUUUGAGACAGAGUCUCGCUCCGUCACCCAGGCUGGAGUGCAGUGGCAUGUUCUCGGCUCGCUGCAGCCUCUGCUUCCUGGAUUCAAGUGAUUCUCCUUCCUCAGCCUCCCAAGUAGCUGGAAUUACAGGCAUGUGCCAACAUGCCGAGCUAAUUUUUUUAUUUUUUGUAGAGAUGGGGUUUCACCAUGUUGCCCAGGCUGGUUUCAAACUCCUGACCUCAAGUGAGCCACCCACCUUGGCCUUCCAAAGUGCUGAGAUUACAGGCUUGAGUCACUGUGCCCAGCCUGAAAUAUCUUCUUCACAUCUUUUCAUAUGCAUAUUUGUUUUUACAAGUACAUAAAUAUACAUUUUUGAUAUAACUUGGAAUCUUGCAUUUUCU
rnacentral:lncRNA from 10 species